UCUCUCGGCAGAUUCAAGAGAGCUAGAACGUGGUUUUUGGGCAGAGGUUUUUGGCAUUGAACAUUUUCUGAAAGAGCUAUUCUUUUCUUUACUUGAACUAUGUUUAUUCUAUUGGAUUUUGGGUGAUUGUGAAAUGCAUGUCCAGUCGUCACAUUGCAAUUCAUUUUCAUUCUCUCGGCUGGAAUGUUUCCCACUUUUUUUUUUCUUUGAAAGCAUGUUCAUUUUUUUAUUCUGGAUGAAUGAUUAAGCAAAGCACUUUUCCUCUUCAUUUUUUUCUGUUAGCGUAGCAUCUUCUUUUAUCUUAUUUUCAUUGAAUUAAAAUAGCGCAGCAUUGUAUGUGAAGCAUGGAGAAACACAUUGAUUUCUUUUGUUGCAGCCCACGGUCACGUCAACCAAAAAUUGAGGAGCAGAUUUUGAUUUUUAUUGGGUAGAAUGAAAGGGCUGCUGCAACGUUUUAUUUAAACCAUGAUGAUGCUAUGGAUGUUGGGUGAUUUUGGUUGAAUAAAGAUAUUUGGAGAAGCACCGUUAACUUUCUUUUAGACAAAAGCUUUUAUUCUACUUUAGCCGGAGGUGCAUAAAUGUGGUUAGAGGUAUCACGGCAUGUAGAAAUUUCCUUUUAGAUAAUGCGUUUAUUUUGCUAGGAUAAAAAUAUCAUUGAUUGCUAUUUCAAUUAGAAAGAAA
rnacentral:lncRNA from 1 species